UAAGCGGAGGAAAAGAAACUAACAAGGAUUCCCCUAGUAGCGGCGAGCGAAGCGGGAAGAGCUCAAAUUUAUAAUCUGGCACCUUCGGUGUCCGAGUUGUAAUCUCUAGAAGUGUUUUCCGCGUUGGACCGCACACAAGUCUGUUGGAAUACAGCGGCAUAGUGGUGAAACCCCCGUAUAUGGUGCGGACGCCCAGCGCUUUGUGAUACACUUUCAAUGAGUCGAGUUGUUUGGGAAUGCAGCUCAAAUUGGGUGGUAAAUUCCAUCUAAAGCUAAAUAUUGGCGAGAGACCGAUAGCGAACAAGUACCGUGAGGGAAAGAUGAAAAGCACUUUGGAAAGAGAGUUAACAGUACGUGAAAUUGUUGGAAGGGAAACGCUUGAAGUCAGACUUGCUUGCCGGAGCUUGCUUCGGUUUGCAGGCCAGCAUCAGUUUUCCGGGGUGGAUAAUGACGGUUUGAAGGUAGCAGUCUCGGCUGUGUUAUAGCUUUCCGUUGGAUACGCCCUGGGGGACUGAGGAACGCAGCGUGCUUUUUGCGAAAGACUCGUCUUUUUCACGCUUAGGAUGCUGGUGGAAUGGCUUUAAACGACCCGUCUUG
rnacentral:rRNA from 1 species